GGAAAUCCAGCUGGGAAAGGACCUUGUGGGGCCGCCAGAGGCAGCUGGGUGUCCCUGGCAGUGUCCUGCUGCUCCAGACAAGGACCCAAGGACAUGGAUUAUGUUCCUUCCCAGCUCUGUGACACCGAGGCUGGUUAAAGGACAGCAAACCUCGAAAAGGUACAAGAAAACUGGGACGCCGCUCCUGAGCGUGCUGCGAGGGGCAGGGACAAGCCUGGCCCGGCACAGCAGCACCGGGAGAGGGGCUGGCCCGGGGACUCCCCGCCCCGGCGGGCGGGACGAGCUGCGGGAGCGCCGGGAGCGCGGCGGGGUUGGAGCCGGGACCGGCACCGGGACCGGGAUCGGGAUCGGGACCGGAGCUGCGACUGGGACCGGGACUGGAGCUGAGGUCGGAGCCGGGAGUGGAUCUGGGAUCGGGAUCGUGACUGUGCCCGUGGCCGGCGCGGCCGCGAUGGCCGCGGCCGAGGUGAGCGAACUUUGCUUCCCCGGGGCUGCCGGGGGUGCUCGGCCGGGCGGAGCUGCCCCGGGGCCUCCGCGGUCCUGCCUCUGUCUGCUGGGAAAGGCCGAUACUCGCGCCUGGGACUCGCGCUCAGGCACUUCCCAGCGGCUUGUGUAAACACUGCUCGGCACAAAAGCUGCAUUUUCAGUUUCCUUCCCUGCCCUGACGUGACCGGGCAUCCUGGCGAGUUCAUUUUCUGCUCUCCAAAUCGCUGCUCCACGUUCCAGGCAGUUUGUCAUUGCCAGGCUGCACAGCCACUGCUCCAAAGAGUCCUGAAGAUGCCUAAAAUGAGCAUUUCAGCUUUGAUUUCUGGAUUGUAAAUGUGUAUGCUGCAAUGUUUCUGCUGACAUCCUUCUUGCUUUGAUGGGAAUACUCCUGGACCCCAGUGCUGAGAAUGACCUUUAAUUUAGCAUUAAUUUUGCUCCUGAGUGAACCAAAUGAGUGUUGAGAAGCUCUAACACUUCUUUUUCAAUUCUGAGUCCUCUCUCUGCCUUCCCCCAGCUUUCUAACAACGCUGCCUUUUACACAUGGCUACACCCUCACCUCUGCAGGCUCUCUCCCGUUGUCCUUUCAGGCACAGGGACAUGGCAACAGUCACCAGGGAAAACAUUUUUAAGGUUACUCAACAGUGUUUUGUCUGGCUGCUAAAACCCUGGCACAGAUCAGCUUCCAGCUGUCCUGCCAGCUCCUUGCUGUCCAUGGUAGUUAUAGUGACCAGCAUGAGAAGAAACUUGCCAGUGGUGUUUAAAGAAUCAAGUAGAUUAGUAAUUAUCCACUCUGCGAUGCAGCUUUAUCUAGUCCCUUCCUUCAGGUGGCCUCCAAUUCCUUUUUGUACUUGGUAGCACUGGAAAGUUGCUUUUGAAAUCCUGGAUAAAUUGUCUGGCCCAAGUA
rnacentral:lncRNA from 1 species